AACGAACGCUGGCGACAUGCCUAACACAUGCAAGUCGAACGAGACCUUCGGGUCUAGUGGCGCACGGGUGCGUAACGCGUGGGAACCUGCCCUUAGGUUCGGAAUAACUCCCCGAAAGGGGUGCUAAUACCGGAUAAUGUCUUCGGACCAAAGAUUUAUCGCCUUUGGAUGGGCCCGCGUUGGUUUAGCUAGUUGGUAGGGUAAAAGCCUACCAAGGCGACGAUCCAUAGCUGGUCUGAGAGGAUGAUCAGCCACACUGGGACUGAGACACGGCCCAGACUCCUACGGGAGGCAGCAGUGGGGAAUAUUGGACAAUGGGCGAAAGCCUGAUCCAGCAAUGCCGCGUGAGUGAUGAAGGCCUUAGGGUUGUAAAGCUCUUUUACCCGGGAUGAUAAUGACAGUACCGGGAGAAUAAGCUCCGGCUAACUCCGUG
rnacentral:rRNA from 1 species